rnacentral:rRNA from 1 species
UACAGAGGUGGCAAGCGUUGUUCGGAAUUACUGGGCGUAAAGCGCGUGUAGGCGGCUCUUCAAGUCAGGCGUGAAAGCCCCGGGCUCAACUCGGGAACUGCGCUUGAUACUGUCGAGCUAGAGUGUGGAAGGGGCGAUUGGAAUUCCGUGUGUAGCGGUGAGAUGCGUAGAUAUACGGAGGAACACCGGUGGCGAAGGCAAUCCCCUGGGCCUGCACUGACGCUCAUGCACGAAAGCGUGGGGAGCAAACAGG